rnacentral:rRNA from 1 species
ACUCAUAAGCUAGCCUCCCCCCACAAGCUCAACAACCCCAUAUCACUACCCCCACAAACCCCAUUCAACUAAUAAACAAAGCAUUUUCCCCUUCUAGUAUAGGCGAUAGAAAAAAGUCCAAGCGCAAUAGACAAAGUACCGCAAGGGAAAGCUGAAAGAGAAAUGAAACAACCCAGUUAAGAAGAGAAAAGCAAAGAUGUAACCUUGUACUUU